GGAAUAUUGGACAAUGGGCGAAAGCCUGAUCCAGCCAUGCCGCGUGUGUGAAGAAGGUCUUCGGAUUGUAAAGCACUUUAAGUUGGGAGGAAGGGUUGUAGAUUAAUACUCUGCAAUUUUGACGUUACCGACAGAAUAAGCACCGGCUAACUCUGUGCCAGCAGCCGCGGUAAUACAGAGGGUGCAAGCGUUAAUCGGAAUUACUGGGCGUAAAGCGCGCGUAGGUGGUUUGUUAAGUUGGAUGUGAAAUCCCCGGGCUCAACCUGGGAACUGCAUCCAAAACUGGCAAGCUAGAGUAUGGUAGAGGGUGGUGGAAUUUCCUGUGUAGCGGUGAAAUGCGUAGAUAUAGGAAGGAACACCAGUGGCGAAGGCGACCACCUGGACUGAUACUGACACUGAGGUGCGAAAGCGUGGGGAGCAAACAGGAUUAGAUACCCGUG
rnacentral:rRNA from 1 species